rnacentral:rRNA from 1 species
GCAUAUCAAUAAGCGGAGGAAAAGAAACCAACAGGGAUUGCCUCAGUAACGGCGAGUGAAGCGGCAACAGCUCAAAUUUGAAAUCUGGCCCUCUCAGGGUCCGAGUUGUAAUUUGGAGAAGAUGCUUCGGGUGUGGCCCCGGUCUAAGUUCCUUGGAACAGGACGUCACAGAGGGUGAGAAUCCCGUACGUGACCGGUGGCCGCCCCCGUGUGAAGCUCUUUCGACGAGUCGAGUUGUUUGGGAAUGCAGCUCAAAAUGGGUGGUAAAUUUCAUCUAAAGCUAAAUAUUGGCCAGAGACCGAUAGCGCACAAGUAGAGUGAUCGAAAGAUGAAAAGCACUUUGGAAAGAGAGUUAAACAGUACGUGAAAUUGUUGAAAGGGAAGCGCUUGCAACCAGACUUGCGCGCGGCCGAUCAUCCGGUGUUCGCACCGGUGCACUCGGUCGCGCUCAGGCCAGCAUCGGUUUGGGUGGCUGGAUAAAGGCCUCGGGAAUGUGGCUCCCCUCGGGGAGUGUUAUAGCCCGAGGUGCAAUGCAGCCUACCCGGACCGAGGACCGCGCUUCGGCUAGGAUGCUGGCGUAAUGGUUGUAAGCGACCCGUCUUGAAACACGGACCAAGGAGUCUAACAUCUAUGCGAGUGUUUGGGUGUCAAACCCAUACGCGUAAUGAAAGUGAACGGAGGUGAGAACCCUUAAGGGUGCAUCAUCGACCGAUCCUGAUGUCUUCGGAUGGAUUUGAGUAAGAGCAUAGCUGUUGGGACCCGAAAGAUGGUGAACUAUGCCUGAAUAGGGUGAAGCCAGAGGAAACUCUGGUGGAGGCUCGCAGCGGUUCUGACGUGCAAAUCGAUCGUCAAAUUUGGGCAUAGGGGCGAAAGACUAAUCGAACCAUCUAGUAGCUGGUUCUGCGA